rnacentral:rRNA from 1 species
ACGAACGCUGGCGGCUGCUUAACACAUGCAAGUCGAACGGAGUGGCGAACGGGUGAGUAACGCGUGAGCAACCUGCCUAUGACAGUGGGAUAGCCUCGGGAAACAGGGAUUAAUACCGCAUAGGCAUAGAUGGGCUCGCGUCUGAUUAGCUAGUUGGGGAGAUAACAGCCCACCAAGGCGACGAUCAGUAGCCGGUAUGGGAGGAUGAACGGCCACAUUGGAACUGAGACACGGUGCAAACUCCUACGGGAGGCAGCAGUGGGGAAUCUUGCACAAUGGGGGAAACCCCGAUGCAGCGACGCCGCGUGAACGAAGAAGGUAUUCGUAUCGUAAAGUUCUGUCCUAUGGGAAGCAGUACCAUAGAAGAAAGCUCCGGCUAACUCCGUGCCAGCAGCCGCGGUAAUAC